UACGGAGGGUGCGAGCGUUGUCCGGAAUCACUGGGCGUAAAGCGACCGCAGGCGGCCUGACAAGUCGGAUGUGAAAGCCCUGGGCUCAACUCAGGAAUUGCAUUCGAAACUGGCAGGCUCGAGUACGGGAGAGGGGGGUGGAAUUCCUGGUGUAGGGGUGAAAUUCGUUGAUAUCAGGAGGAACACCGGCGGCGAAGGCGGCCCCCUGGCCCGCAACUGACGCUCAUGGUCGAAAGCGUGGGGAGCAAACAGG
rnacentral:rRNA from 1 species